AUUACAGAUACUGUACGAGUCCUCAGUGAUUCAUGAAGGUCUGAACGUGUUUGUUUUCACCCAGCAGAGGGCGUUCUUCUCAUUUCUGUAGUCCUCAUGUACACAAUGAGCUCAAGACUCAUCAUGGAAGGUCAAAUCUUGCCACAGGGUGGAGCUCCAGACUUAAAUCACAGUGUUUCAGUGAGAAAAGACACAUCUGAGUUUGUCAUUUCAUUCCAUCAUGCUGCUCUGUGCACUUGGAAUAUUUGCAGUACUUGCAGGAGACUCUCUUGGUGAUGUAAUAACAUCUCGUGAUUCUGAAAAAGAAGCUCAAGAUGGUAACAGUGUUUCUCUCUCCUGCAACUACAGUGGUGUUGUUCUCAAUCUACUGUGGUAUCGUCAGUAUCAGAGAUCCAAACCAGAACUCCUUCUCUCCAUCACUGAAUCUGGAGAUGCAGUUAAAGCAGAUCCAUCAGCCCACUGGUUUUCUCCUAAAGUUGACAAACUCAAAAAGCUCUUGAAACUGGAAAUCAGCCCUGCUAAAGUAUCAGACUCUGCUGUGUAUUACUGUGCUCUGAUGCCCACAGUGACAGGAAACUCUUUUCCUCAGUACAUGAUCUUUCUGCAUAUUAUUGUUUAACAAGCACAUGUAUUCUGUGUGUUGUUUCUGUAACUGAAUCAUCCAUCAGUAACACAAGAAUCUCAAUAAAGUAGGCCUAC